rnacentral:lncRNA from 1 species
AUCAGAUCGACAUACUCCAUAUCCAGUCGUUUCAAAGAAGCUUUAGUCCCCUCGAUGAUAUGUUUCCUGGAUAAACCCUUGUCGUUGGGUCCUGGCCCUCCCCAAAACAGUUUAGUAGACACAACGAUGUCAGAGCGUUUCCAUCCGAGUUCUCGGAUUGCUUGUCCCAUGAUUUCUUCAGCUCGGCCAUUGGCGUAGACCUCUGCGUUGUCGAAGAAGUUGACGCCAUGGUCACGGCAACAUUGGAGUAGAGUUUUGGCUUCUUUUACGUCUAACUGGUUGCCGAAACUGACCCAUGCACCGUAUGAGAGCUGUGACACCUUCAAUCCUGAUCGACCGAGGUUCUUGUAUUCCAUAUUUUCCGAUUACCUGUGAUCAGAAAAGAUGAAAUGGAG